rnacentral:rRNA from 1 species
GAUGAACGCUGGCGGCGUGCUUAACACAUGCAAGUCGAACGGAAAGGCUCCUGCUUGCAGGGGUACUCGAGUGGCGAACGGGUGAGUAACACGUGGGUGAUCUGCCCAGCACUUCGGGAUAAGCCUGGGAAACUGGGUCUAAUACCGGAUAGGACGAUGGUUUGGAUGCCAUUGUGGAAAGUUUUUUCGGUGUGGGAUGAGCUCGCGGCCUAUCAGCUUGUUGGUGGGGUAAUGGCCUACCAAGGCGUCGACGGGUAGCCGGCCUGAGAGGGUGUACGGCCACAUGGGGACUGAGAUACGGCCCAGACUCCUACGGGAGGCAGCAGUGGGGAAUAUUGCACAAUGGGCGCAAGCCUGAUGCAGCGACGCCGCGUGGGGGAUGACGGCCUUCGGGUUGUAAACUCCUUUCGCUAGGGACGAAGCGCAAGUGACGGUACCUGGAGAAGAAGCACCGGCUAACUACGUG